rnacentral:misc_RNA from 1 species
AUCGUCAAUAAGAGGGUCCGGUCGGUGUGUCCAGUCGAAUUUAUGCUUCGGGUUGUACCC